rnacentral:rRNA from 1 species
UACCGCCCUAUUCGAACGGUACUUGUUCUUCCCUAACAACAGAGCUUUACGAUCCGAAAACCUUCAUCACUCACGCGGCGUUGCUCCGUCAGACUUUCGUCCAUUGCGGAAGAUUCCCUACUGCUGCCUCCCGUAGG